CUCAGAUUAGUUCAGGAGAUCUCAGUGAUGGAGGAAGAGGAUGAAUGUCCAGAGUUAGUUCCCAUUAAGGAGAAGUCAACUGGACACACAGCUCAGACACCUGUUACCAUCAUCACUUGAUACUUGGGUGCUAGAAAGACAACACUUAUGAACUACAUAUUAACAGAGCAACAUAAUAAACGACUAGCUGUCAUUCUUAAUGAAUUUGGUGAAGGCAGUGCUCUGGAGAAGUCUUUUGCUGCAGUCAGGCUGGAGAGCUGUAGGAGGAGUAGAUGGAGCUGAAUAAUGGCUGCCUGUGCUGCUCUGUCAAGUAAAG